UACGUAGGUGGCGAGCGUUGUCCGGAUUUACUGGGCGUAAAGGGCGUGCAGGCGGUUUGUUAAGUGCAGGGUGAAAGCUCCCGGCUCAACUGGGAGAGGUCCUUGCAUACUGGCGAACUCGAGGGAGGCAGAGGAAAGUGGAAUUCCCGGUGUAGUGGUGAUAUGCGUAGAUAUCGGGAGGAACACCUGUGGCGAAGGCGGCUUUCUGGGCCUUACCUGACGCUGAGACGCGAAAGCGUGGGGAGCAAACCGG
rnacentral:rRNA from 1 species